rnacentral:rRNA from 1 species
UACGUAGGGGGCUAGCGUUGUCCGGAUUUAUUGGGCGUAAAGAGCGUGUAGGCGGCCAGGUAGGUCUGGUGUGAAAACUCGAGGCUUAACCUCGAGAUGUCAUCGGAAACCAUUUGGCUAGAGUCCGGAAGAGGAGAAUGGAAUUCCUGGUGUAGCGGUGAAAUGCGCAGAUAUCAGGAAGAACACCCGUGGCUAAGGCGGUUCUCUAGUACGGUACUGACGCUGAGACGCGAAAGCGUGGGGAGCGAACAGG